rnacentral:lncRNA from 1 species
CAAUCUCGCAAUCAGUUACUAGUUACUGUGUCAAACCAAAACCUCCACAAAAUUGGAAAGUCAUGGUUCCUACAAUCUCGCAAUCGUCAUUUCUAGGUGGAAAGUCAUGAAUAUUGAAACGGAACAAUACUUUCCUCUAGCCGACGACAGAUUUAUUUUUUCGAGAAAAUUGUAAAUCAAGGUGGUCACAAUUAUGAGGAUUCAAGGAUAUUCAUUCUUCCAUCAUUCCGAUCAACGAAGGUGUUCUAUUGGCUGUCUAAAAUCAAAUCAGUAUGUGAUUAAUCGUGUCCUAUAAUCUGCAUUAUGUCGGCUGUAUACAAAAAAUUGCAUUGGAGAUGACGAAUAUUGUUGUUCAUAGUGUCGUAUGUCUAUUAAAAUUGCAUCGCAGACAGCGAUUAUUUGCAUUAUUUGUUCGUAUUUAUUAGAUUUUGGUCACAAUUAUGUAUUAUAUAUCUAUAAAUCAUGAAAUUCUCCAUACGAAAUGUGAGUUUGUGACCAGAAUAUUUUUUUGUGACGUUAAUUCAUGUCUAUAGCACAAAAUAUGUGUGGAUAUGUGAACCAAAUUUCUGCUCGU